UGGGGGGAAGGGCAAGCAGACCGGCCAGGCUUGGUGCCCUUGUGAGGCUUACACGGGGUGCUCCAGGCAGCGUGUCAGGGACUGGCUUAGAAACCCGUGGGGUUGAGCGCUGGGUGUUGUAUGGAAACCAAUUUGACAAUAAAUUGCAUAUAUUGAAAAAAAAAAGAAAUGCAAAAAAAAAAAAAAACCCACAAGAAACCCACAGAGAAGAGGAGGGGAAAAUAGCACAAAAGACAAAAGCAAAACCAGGUAGCUGGGAGAUGGUGGGAAAACACUGACGUUGGACUGAAGGGUUGGCUUGGACGACUUGACCUCUCUGGGCUUUAGGAACUUCACCCCCCCCUCCCAGCGUGGCACCGGUAAAAAUCCCUCCCCGACAGCUACUCAGGGAAGAGGAAUCGGGUCCGAGUGUAGAAAGCAAAUAUUUAUUGAGAAUCUACUCUGUGCCAGGUGCUGUUAUAGGUAACAGCAACACAGGGAUUAAUAAAAUAAGAGUUUUGCCUUUGAGAAACUCUUAUUUCCGCAUGUACUUGCCCAUGCUGGCGAAGUGAGUGAGGAUAUAGAAACGAACUAAAAAAACAAACGUGUUGAAAGCCUGCUGUGUGACGGUCACUUUGUCCUGUGUUCUGUUACCUCAUUUUAACCUCGCGAGGACACUCCAAGGUGUUGUUCGCUUUACAAAGGAGGAAACUGGCCCAGAGACGUUCACCACGUUUGCCAAAACCACGCAGCUCGUAUGGAGUUUAGGAUGUGAAAUCUCCCCAGACCUCCAAUCCUCUCUCCUUCUCCACGGUUAGAAGCCAGCCAUCUGGAGCGUUCUCAUCUUACCACAGCCAAACCGCAGACCUGUCUAUACCAGCAUCUAGCCUGUCCUUUCCCCUCUUGUUCAAUGGAGAAAGCGUGCUUCUCGGUAUCACACGGAUUCUGGAUCCCAGAACUUCUCUUGGAUCUGUUUGUAGGUUUGGCCUUGUCGGAGCAUGCCAACAGACAGCAGAAUCACCAGCUACAUUUGCUAAGAGAGAUUGUGCCAAACUGAUGCACUUGACCGCCCGAGGAAACAACUCCCUGCUCUUCCAGGUUACUGAUCUCAAGUAGAUCAAUCAAUAUUGUCAGAGCCUGCGGCUGAAGUAAAUUUUACUCGGAUUCUGGCACAAGACACAGGUCAGUCAGAGAAAACCUCCCCAGGGGAAAAGUGUAGCGAUAGUAACGGUCACAUUAUUCACAGUGGUAACUGAAAUUGAUAUGACCUUUAUGGUUAGCAAAGAACGUCUGCAUUUGCUU
rnacentral:lncRNA from 1 species